rnacentral:rRNA from 1 species
AUUGAACGCUGGCGGCAGGCCUAACACAUGCAAGUCGAGCGGUAGCACAGAGAGCUUGCUCUCGGGUGACGAGCGGCGGACGGGUGAGUAAUGUUUGGGAAACUGCCUGAUGGAGGGGGAUAACUACUGGAAACGGUAGCUAAUACCGCAUAACGUCGCAAGACCAAAGUGGGGGACCUUCGGGCCUCAUGCCAUCAGAUGUGCCCAGAUGGGAUUAGCUGGUAGGUGGGGUAACGGCUCACCUAGGCGACGAUCCCUAGCUGGUUUGAGAGGAUGACCAGCCACACUGGAAAUGAGACACGGUCCAGACUCCUACGGGAGGCAGCAGUGGGGAAUAUUGCACAAUGGGCGCAAGCCUGAUGCAGCCAUGCCGCGUGUGUGAAGAAGGCCUUCGGGUUGUAAAGCACUUUCAGCGGGGAGGAAGGCGGUGAGGUUAAUAACCUCACCGAUUGACGUUACCCGCAGAAGAAGCACCGGCUAACUCCGUG